AUCGCUUCUCAGCCUUUUGACUGAGAUCAAGCGUAGUAUUUGUUCUUAUCAGAUAAUAUCUAAUAUCUCCAUCUGAGGACAAUCUAUUAAAUGGAUUUUUGGAGCAGGGAGAUGGAAUAGGAGCUUGCUCUGUCCAAUCCACGCAUCGACCCCGUAUUGCAGUACUUCUAGGAAUGGUGAAACCCCU
ensembl:snRNA U2 U2 spliceosomal RNA